AUCAUGCAUCUCUCACGUGUCUGCUUCUGCAAGACAUCACCUGACAUACCUGAGUCUCCAAAGAGACUCACUUCAUGGUCAUUUAUAAAACAAACAAACAAAAGAGAUGGAAUUUUUCCACAGUGACUGGAAAGUACAAGACCAGGAAACCAACAGGAAGAACCUCUGUUACCCAAACAUCUUGAGAACUCACCACUUCUCAAGACCAUCUUAUUUUCCCACAAACACUUAAACUGGAACUUUGGAGGGCCAUGCUCAAACAGCAGUAGCCCUGAUGCAAAUGAUUGGCAUUCCUCUGUUACCAUCCUCAGGAUCCCGGAGAACAGGCAUUGCUUAAAGCAGAAGGCAGGGAUAAGUUUGUGAGAAAAACAAAGCAAGAAAAAUGGAUGGUGUUCCGUGCAGCUGUGGCGGAUUCGAGGUGGCGCCGCGGGUUCCUCAUGGAUGACAGCAGAAGCUGUUAGGACGGAGACGGGGUCUCCGUGACUUCCCCUGCUCACUGACUCUUAGAGGUUCACAGUUUCCAGGAUGAAAUUGGGCAUGCGCCCGGUGUUUACUUUCUACUUUGCUGUCUCAGACUCCUCCCUCUCUCUUGCCCUCCCCCUCGCUCUCGCCCUCCCCCUCCCUCCUCCCCCCUCCCCGCAAUAAUAAAGUCACCUCGUCUGUGGGUAGAUCUGUGGAAAGGAACAACACAGACAGCUGGCGUGACUGUCGCAAGUGUCCAGGGCAAACCUGUGGUUUGGGAGGCAUCGGGAUACUAGGGCCAACACGGCCUCCAGGCUAAAGGAGCAGUGGAGAAGGAAAGAUAAAGCAAGGUAGAUGUGGGCACGUGUGCUUCAAAAUGGCUGGAGUCUGCAGGAGAUGAGAGUAGGCAAAGCAAUCCAGAUA
rnacentral:lncRNA from 1 species